rnacentral:misc_RNA from 1 species
AACUUUUGGCAACGGAUCUCUUGGCUCUCGCAACGAUGAAGAACGCAGCGAAAUGCGAUAAGUAAUGUGAAUUGCAGAAUUCCGUGAAUCAUUAAAUCUUUGAACGCACAUUGCGCCUCCUGGUAUUCCGGAAGGCAUGUCUGUUUGAGAAUCAGUUUAAUUCUCACACUCAUUAGUGGGUAACUACUAAUAGGUGUGGAUUUGGGACUAGUUGAAAGAAAUUUCGACAGACCUUAAAAGAAUCUUUGCCUUGAAUAAUGAAUAGCUAAAUCUGGAAGGCAUGACCAAUGGACUACAACGAAAGUUGUUCGUUCUAAGAUUGCUGAUAAAAGUAUUAGUUUUAGUAAUUAUUCUCUCGGGUAAAAUAAACUGACACGAAGUUAACUUGUUAACUUUAAGACUUGAUCUCAAAUCAGAUAAGACUACCCGCUGAACUUAAGCAUAUCAAUAAGCGGAGGCU